rnacentral:rRNA from 1 species
UAAUACCGCAUACGUCCUACGGGAGAAAGCAGGGGAUCUUCGGACCUUGCGCUAAAUGAUGAGCCUAAGUCGGAUUAGCUAGUUGGUGGGGUAAAGGCCUACCAAGGCGACGAUCUGUAGCGGGUCUGAGAGGAUGAUCCGCCACACUGAGACUGACACACGGCCCAGACUCCUACGGGAGGCAGCAGUGGGGAAUAUUGGACAAUGGGCGGAAGCCUGAUCCAGCCAUGCCGCGUGUGUGAAGAAAGCCUUUUGGUUGUAAAACACUUUAAGCGAGGAAGACGCUACUUGUACUAAUACUACCGGGGAGUGAACAUGUCUCGAAAAUAAGCCCUGCGCUAAAUCUGUGCCAG